rnacentral:ncRNA from 1 species
GAAGGUCUACGCUUAGAAGCCUUCGCGCAGAGCCGUGUUAAUAGUACUUCUUCUGGCCGAGAAGUGCGGUUAGUGAAUC